UCCGGGAUUUUGGGAUGUUCUGGAGGGAUCAGGAGAGGGAAAAGGGGGAUCUCACUCCGGGAUUUUGGGAUGUUCUGGAGGGAUCAGGAGAGGGAAAAUGGGGGAAUCACUCUCUGGGGUUCUGGGAUGUUCCAGAGGGGUCAAGAGAGGGAAAAUGGGGGAAAAAAAGGCCCUCGAGUUCCCGGGAUAUUCCCAAAGGAUCCGCAGAGGUCAGAUGGGAAAAACGGGGAAAACUCUGAGGGAUCAAGAGAGGGGAAAAUGGGAAAAUCCCAGUCCGGGGGUCUGGGAUGUUCCAGAGGGGUCAAGAGAGGGAAAAUGGGGGGAAAAAAGGUCCUUGGGUUCCCGGGAUAUUCCCAAAGGAUCAACAGGGAUAUUCCCAAAAGAAAAAUGGGGAAAAAAACCCUCCCAGGUUUGUGGGAUAUUCCCAAAGGAUCAACAGAGGUCAGAUGGGAAAACUGGGGGAAAAAACCCUCCCAGGUUUGUGGGAUAUUCCCGAGGGAUCAACAGGGAUAUUCCCAAAGGAAAAAUGGGGGAAAUAAAACCCCCUCGGGUUCCCGGGAUAUUCCCAAGGGAUCAGCAGGGAUCCCAAAGGAAAAAGGGGGGAAAAAACCCUCCCAGGUUUGUGGGAUGUUCCCGAGGGAUCCGCAGGGAGGGGCUGGAAAAGCAGCGGGGGGAGGGGGGAGCCGGGGGAGGGGGGAAUUCCCACCUGGAUCCCGAAAAACCCUCGGGUUGGGCGGAAAAAGGAGGAUUUCGGGGGGUGGAAAACGGAGCAGAAAAAUUCAAAUUUUUAGGGAUUUCCCCUCAAAAAAUCCGGGUGGAAAGUGAAGGUUUGGGGGCUUUCUCCUGGAAAAACCGAGGGGGGGAAAAGGAGGUUCCAGGGAUUUUUUUGCCCGAAAAAUGAGGAUUUCAGGGGUUUUCCCUGGAAAAACGAGGAGGGGAAUGAGGUUUGAGGGAUCUUUUCCCGUGAAAUGAGGGAAAAAAUGAAGGCUGAGGGAGUUUUCCCGUAAAAAUCAAGCCCAAAAAUGGAGGUUUUGGGGAUCCUUCGCCUUAAAAUGUUGAAAAGGGAUUUUUUUCCUGUGAAAAAACAGCAAAAAUGUAAAGUUUGGGGGAUUUUUUUCCACGAAAUGGAGCCCAAAAAGCGAAGUUUGGGAGAUUUUUUCCUGUGAAAAACAAGGAGAAAAACAAACUUUUCACUCCUU
rnacentral:lncRNA from 1 species